AACGAACGCUGGCGGCAGGCUUAACACAUGCAAGUCGAGCGAGACCUUCGGGUCUAGCGGCGGACGGGUGAGUAACGCAUGGGAACGUGCCCUUCUCUACGGAAUAGCCCCGGGAAACUGGGAGUAAUACCGUAUACGCCCUUUGGGGGAAAGAUUUAUCGGAGAAGGAUCGGCCCGCGUUGGAUUAGGUAGUUGGUGGGGUAAUGGCCCACCAAGCCGACGAUCCAUAGCUGGUUUGAGAGGAUGAUCAGCCACACUGGGACUGAGACACGGCCCAGACUCCUACGGGAGGCAGCAGUGGGGAAUCUUAGACAAUGGGGGCAACCCUGAUCUAGCCAUGCCGCGUGAGUGAUGAAGGCCUUAGGGUUGUAAAGCUCUUUCAGCUGGGAAGAUAAUGACGGUACCAGCAGAAGAAGCCCCGGCUAACUCCGUG
rnacentral:rRNA from 1 species